rnacentral:misc_RNA from 1 species
UUAACUAUUAUAUAAUACUCAGACGACACUAUAAUUCAGAGUUUUGGGUCCUCUGGCGGGCACUCACCAGCCGAAGCCGGUAGCCGAAGCGGCCCGCCAAAGCAACAAAGGUAUAAAUAUUCAAGGGUGGGAGAUCUACCCGCGAGGGCAUGAACUCUGUAAUGAUCCUUCCGCAGGUUCACCUACGGAAA